rnacentral:rRNA from 1 species
AUGGAAGUCGACUGUUUGGAGCUAGUGAAGUUCUGGCAAUCUCGCCACAGUUCUCGUUCAAUUGUGGCUCCUUUACUUUUAGAAAUAGGAGAGCUAUGUACCUCUUUUGCUUCUUUUGAUAUUCUUCAUGUAAAUUGAGCGGCGAACGUUCCGGCGCAUCUGUGUGCGAAGCGAGCUUGCACAUUGAAUGUGACCGAAAGCUGGCUCGAUGAAACUCCUAGCUUCUUGGUGACCAGCCUUCUGGCUUACUGCACCUAG